CUCGGCUGGCAGCCCAGCACCCGGCAAUAUAGUGCUGCACAGCCCAGUCUAUACAUCAGACAAAAAGGAUUGGUCCCCAAAGAGCCAGAGCCAACAAAAGAGCGGCCACACAGCAGCUCGAGAUGAUUUACUAUUACUAGUGCAUUGGCCCAGCAGACAAGGAAUGGCUCUCAGCCGCCCACUUUUACAUCUCACAUGCCCGGCAACAACCAUUUCCCAACCGAUGGAUAUAAUACUAGUAGCAAAAGAAA